rfam:Apaloderma vittatum contig53623, whole genome shotgun sequence.
GGCCGGUUAGCUCAGUGGGUUGAGCGCAGUGCUGAUAACACCAAGAUCGCAGGUUCGAUUCCCGUUUGGUCCG